rnacentral:lncRNA from 1 species
AAGUAAAUCAAAGUCGAGAAUAAGUUACUGAUAUUAUCGAGAUAAUAUAGGUACAUCGUGCUUUAGAAAAUAUAUUCAUAGCAGAUCAGAUGCCACUUAAACUACCAGGUAGCUUAAAGCAUCAAAACUCUCUGUUUCCUUAAAAAUCCAUAAAUCAUCUAGACGAUAAAAGAGUCACUUGAAUCUCGCAUAGCAAAGUUAACGAUAAAAAAAACUAAAACAAGUCUCGUGACGGGAAUAAUAUUGCAAUGAAAUAGAUAUACCUACGAUGCACCGAAGAAGAUCUAGAACCAAAUCCAACUUUUCACAGAUCCAAAUCACAGAUCCUAGAGUAUCAGAAACCCUAAGCACAGCUCCCAGAAUCCUUUCAAAUCCUUUCAAAUUCUUUCAAAUUCUUUCAAAUCUCUUCACACGCGCAUCGAUCAAUGUUGCAACACGAAUUUAACCAAAAUCCCUCUUCGUAACACCCCGAGUAUCACGGAAGGAUCGAGAGAGCAGAAACGGCAAUUACUGGCAGUCACAGGUCCCGUAAACGCGAAUCAGCUCUGAGAUUCAUCGAGUCUGACACUGAACCGAGCGACGCGAAGGCCAGCCUCGAAAUCACAGGUACACGCUUUUAGCUCCCGACAUUCUCCGCUUUAUCUUAUCACUCUGGCCUCUGGAUCGUCGAUUUCAGAUUCCUACAUCCGAAAGUCACUCGAGCCAACAUUCACGUCACGAACUCCACCCGAUUUCGAUUCGUUCCGCGGCCGUAAUUUCUUCGAUCAACCUUGGAAACGACGUGGACCGACGUAACCGCGAGGAUUACACCGCGUUCCAAACACGUAAACACGUCCGUGCACGCGGAAAUUUACGUUUCGAGGAUAGGCAGCGGGGAAGAGAGAUGGAGAUAGAGAACGAGAGCCGAGUUCGAAGACGCGUGUGUCGGUCGCAGAAGCGAAAACAGAAUCGGAGAACGAGAACCCAAAGUUUUCGAGGGCUGUCAAUGAACGAUCGAUCCGUUUGGACAGGGACCAAGUUGGGAAAUCGUCGGACAACGUCGAUCAUCGGCGCGAUCCUGAUCGCGUUUCAACAUCGGCUUCAGGCUUCCCAGAGACAUUUUAGACCUCGAGGUCGCGCGCAUUCCUUCUCAACGAUCCGACGUUUAUCGCUGUCUGCUAGAUCUCACUCGCGAAUAAUCAACGUCAACGCUUUCAACUUGUGUUAUAAAUUUCAUAUACCGUCGCGGACAGUUUUAUAGAGCAAUUUGUGGACUCGUCUGAACUCUGAACAGGUGUAAAACUAUUCCUCGAAUGGACCCUGUAAUGAUGGUGACCGGAUCGCAGUUUCAACGCGUUCAACGGGACGAUUCCCGAGACGCGAGACGGUUCAACGAGACGAUUCGAUGAACGACGACGAGAGGAAUCGCUGGUUUUCAUUGAUUCUCGAGACGCGAUCGGCCGAUCGAUGCAUUGUUAAGCGUCACGGUGUCUGGAGAUGUGCACGACGUUUUAAUAAAGCUAGGCCCAGUUGCAGACGGCAUAGUGGCCUCGAAUCCACUGACUAAAGUUUGCGAUUCCACGAGGACGACGCGGGCCGAAGAGGCCACGGAUCGGGAUGCCUUUGCCCCUCUUCUUCUCGAGCACCUAGCCAAAUAUUUUGUUUGCUCUCUGGGACUGCGCCGUGUCGGGGCAUCUCUCUUCGUUAAGGGCACGUUCGUGCGUUACGUGACGUUGUGUGUGAUUUAUUCGUUUAAUAGACCUCCAUUUUGAUAAGCGGUUCAAAGAAAAUUCGAGGCAACCAGUGUUUUCGAUCAUAUCUUCGGAGAUACCAUGGGCGAUAGUUCCUCUCGAUAGUUGCGAGUUGCAAGCUUUGCAGAUUGAAAUUGAGAUCAAGAUCCAAAUCAAGUUUUAGGAAAUAGGCUGUUUUUCUUCAGUUAUCGUUCGCUAUUCGAUGACUGGCAUUAUAAAUGAGAUAACGAGAGAGUAGGCCUGUUAGGAGAAAUUACCGAUGACGAUUGGCCGAAAAGUAGUAUAGACCGUUCAGUGAACUUAGAGAUGACAACAUCCGUAAGACGAAUACAGACCCAUUAGUGAAACUAAUAGCGACGACGUCGGGAAGAGUGAAGAUGCAGAGAUGGUAGCAGUCCGUGUAGAGUACACAGCUAAAAAUAAUAGACGCGUGUAGGCUUUGUAGAGAAAUAUUCUUGGCACCCGAUUUAGAGAGAGAGAGAGAGAGAGAGAGAGAACUCCGAGUAAGCAAGUUAAAAGAAGAAUCGUUUCUCGAAGAAUAUGAAGAAUUUUUAACAAGUAAACCAUUUUCCGAUUAUUUCGAUGAGGUUGUUAUAAAUCAGCAGAUACUACGGUCACGAUUAAUUAGGGCCAACGUAGUCGGAUAACGAAAUUAUCAAUCAUCUUACGAUAUUCAAUAAUUCAUAGUUCGGCCGUGUUCGUUUGAUUAAGAGGACACUAAUGACGCUUUUGACCAAUCAACGUGCGAUAGAUAUAGCAGCAUUACGAUAACAUGCGAUAGGUUUGCAGCUCGAUACCGAACGGCACGUUAUGAAACAUUCAACAGAAUCUCCUUGAAGCUAUUAUUCGAUUUGAAAGGCUAAUAAUGCACGCUGUUUGAAUGGCGAGCAGCAAUUGCACACCGCGACCCGGCUCAUUUCGCAGAAGCUACAAAAUUCUCAAGUGUGAGACGUGCUUGACAAUAUUCCGACACGUAACGAAGGAGAAAGAGAAAGUUGAUUUGUAAAGCGUGUGAAACUCUUCGACCUGCUGAUAUUUGGAUUCCCUUUGAUACGAGUUUUAAGUAUUUAGAUUACGCUAAAUAGAUUUUCAAGACACGAGGAAUAAGUAAACAGGAAUUAAGUAGGAGGUGAGAGGUGUAAAAGGGACAAAAGAUAUAAAUUAUGAUUGAAUACCAUUAUAAAUCAGGAAUUACUUAAACAAUGAAAACUUUUACGAGUAGAAAAGAAGCUAAGGAGAAAGUAAAACCAAGUUCAACAUCCAAUAGUAGUAGCCAAGAUAUAUAAAAUUAAAUAUUCAUCAAAAUAUAUCUAGAAGUAUCUUAAACCUCUAUUAAACGUCUAUUAAAGGAAGAUAAAGAAGAUCAUUUUGCCCAGUAAUAACAAGAUAUGAUAUAUAUAUUUUUUUAUACGUAUAUAUUUCCACGUAAAUAACAAAUUUAUUAAGAUACGCAAAAAUAUUCGGCACAUGAAAUGUUGAACGAGAAAGAAUUUAUCGAUUCAGUGCGGAUUAGGAAGCAUAAGAAGCAUUAUAUGCUCGGUUACAGUCAAAGAAAAUUAGCGAGUAUCUAUAAUUUGCGCGUGGCAAAUAACGGGAUCAUUCGACAAUUAUUAUUGCGAGUUUACAUAGCGGUGGCACAAAGCGAUUAUUUGUCCAGGGGCGCUUUACACGAAAUUAUCUUUGCCUCUGAGAUCACCGAGUAACGAGUUUGUAAUUGUCUCUCGCUCGUGUUGCACCUUCGUCGUGGAACUGUAUCUUGCACAUGGCGUUUCAAUUAACACACCUUUAAUAGACGGGUAUACGUGUGUGUUCGAGAUCGAAGAGUCCGUUCCCUAUUAUUCCUUGAGAACAUUGGUAACUUCGAGAAAUUUAGAAAAUAAAAUGACCCUUGGAACAUAUUAAGCAACGAAUUGAACUAGGCAUUUGAAGCUUGAAUAUUUUUAGUAAAUAGAAUGACCCAUGGAACAGAUUAAGUAUCACGUUGAAUUAAGUAUUUGGGUUUUGAAUGUUUAUAGCGAACAUAAUGGCCCGUGGAAAACAGAUUAAGUAUUGCAUUACAUUAAAUACUUGGGAUUUGAAUAUUACUAGCAAAUAGAAUGGCCCAUGGAACAAACUGAGUAUUGAAUUGAAUUAAGUAUUUAGGAAUGAAUACUUUUCAUAAACAUAAUGGCCCACGGAACACAUAGGAUUUCAAUACUUUUCAUAAAUAUAAUGACCCACGGAACAAAUUAUAUAGGAUUUCAAUGCCUUUAAUAAAUAGAAUGGCCUACGGAACAGAUUAAGUAUUACAUCGAAUUAAGUAUUUGGAAUUUGAAUACUUUUAAUAACUAUAAUGCUCUAUGGAACAGGUUAAUUAUUCUAUUGAACUAAAUACUUGGGAUUUGAAUAUUUUCAUUGAAUAUAAUGGCCAAUGGAACAGAUUAAGUAUUAAAUUCAAUUAAGUACUUCGGAUAUGAAUACUUUUCAUAAAUAGAAUGGCCUAUGAAACAGAUUAUAGGAUUCGAAUACUUUUCACAAAUAUAGUUGCCCCCGGAACAGAUUAAGUAUUACUCUGAGUUAAGUAUUUGGAAUUGGAAUACUUUUAAUAAAUAUAAUACCCCAUGUAACAGGUUAAUUAUACCAUUGAACUUAAAUACUUGGGAUUUGAAUAUUUUUAUUGAAUAUAAUGGCCAAUGGAACAAAUUAAGUAUUACAUUAAAUUAAGUACUUGGGAUACGAAUACUUUUCAUAAAUAUAAUGGCCUAUGGAAGA